rnacentral:rRNA from 1 species
AGAGUUUGAUCAUGGCUCAGAACGAACGCUGGCGGCAUGCCUAACACAUGCAAGUCGAACGCCAUCCUCUGGAUGGAGUGGCGCACGGGUGAGUAACGCGUGGGAACCUGCCUUUUUCUGCGGGACAACGGUUGGAAACGACCGCUAAUACCGCAUACGCCCUACGGGGGAAAGGUCCGCCGGAGAGAGAGGGGCCCGCGUUUGAUUAGCUUGUUGGUGGGGUAACGGCUCACCAAGGCGACGAUCAAUAGCUGGUCUGAGAGGAUGAUCAGCCACACUGGGACUGAGACACGGCCCAGACUCCUACGGGAGGCAGCAGUGGGGAAUAUUGGACAAUGGGGGCAACCCUGAUCCAGCAAUGCCGCGUGUGUGAUGAAGGCCUUAGGGUUGUAAAGCACUUUCACUGGCGAAGAUGAUGACGGUAACCAGAGAAGAAGCCCCGGCUAACUUCGUGCCAGCAGCCGCGGUAAUACGAAGGGGGCGAGCGUUGUUCGGAAUUACUGGGCGUAAAGGGCGUGUAGGCGGCUCCUUAAGUUAGGCGUGAAAGCCCGGGCUCAACCCGG